AGGGUAUAUAUGAUGACAUUGUGGAUUCCUCUUUUGUUAAAUUGAUUUUGCUACUGUUAAGAGGAGGAGAUAAUGGACUAUUGAACCAAGAGGUUCGAUCUGCUGCAGUACAAGUCUUGGUACUGAUCAUACUUUCCAUGUAAUCCAUGACCAGAAGAUCCUCAGUUUCCUAUCUUUUAUAUUUGGAAUGGUGUCUUCCUGAAUAGGCUGCAUGGAAGAAUGAUCAAAGCAGCAUCAAUCCGAAAAAACUGUGGAUUUAUUGUAUGAUACUGCUCUGAUUUCUCGUGGAUUCUCUCUAUAUAUGAGAUGAUGGUGAUCAAUCUCAGCGGAAGAUCAGGAGAUCAGAAUCAGAAUUAAGUGGUAGAAGGAGUUGACCAGGAGGCAAGAAGCUCUGAAUCUGGAUCUUCAGAGGUGACAGUGGUGGAUGUGGUUUGAACCAUCGGAAGUGAGGAUGGAGGAUGAUCCAUGGAACGAUUAAGCAUCUUCUAGUAGGGAAUUAAAUUUUUGAGGAUUUGGUUAAAGGAGUUGACAAGGGAUUUUUAUGUGUAGGAUGAGGGCAUCAAUGUAGUCAGUAAGAUGAAUUCGACAGGUGACAUUUAUGAGAAGGAUGCAGCCGCUCUUGUGCUGCAUGUAUUCAUAUUGUAGCCUACAGCUAUUUACAUCUCAAAACAUUAGAUAAUCAUUUUGGAAGAAAAUGGUGAUGGCAUCUUCCAGGAAUCUGACCUUGUUAUUACAAUUUUGAGUCCUCUGCUUCAUUGCAUCAUACUGAUAACUACUAACACCAUGUAUGACAAAUGUCUGGUGUGAUCCAAAGGCUUCUCACUGAGUUACAUGUCAGUGAGUUAACAGUAAAAUAGAUGUAUUCUUUUUUACUAUGAACUUUGUAGAUAAUAAAAUUCAGGUGGGAAAUAUACAUAGCUGAUGUUGAUUUGUGGUUGCUUAAUCAGUUUAGGAGUUUGAUGCCUUGAGAUAACAAGAAAAUCUUCAGAGGAUUUGACACUGAGAGUUG